rnacentral:lncRNA from 1 species
CCGCCCUCCGCCUUCCCCGGGAUUCCGUGCUGUGCGGGCCGGGCGCUGGCGUUGGAUUGAGUUCUGUGAGUUGACUGGGCAUUCUGCAUCACAAGGUGUGGCUGGGCACUGGAACAGCCGAAGUCACCUGGGAGCUGACUGGGUUGGACUGUCCAGGAUGGUUCACUCCUACGACAGUGGAUGCUCAACUGGGGCUGUCAACUGGAGCCCCCAUAGGGCACUAAUCCAGACGCGGAGGGCUCACCUUUACAACAGCUAAACCUGAUCACCCCCCAGAGGCCCCAUCUCCAAAUACCAUCACAUUGGGGAUUGUGCUUUGACAUAUGAAUGUGGGAGGACACGAGCAUUCAGUCCAUAACAGGCACCAAGGCACCAAGUCAGUCUGCACAAGUGUGUCGCUGGGCAGAAGAACAAAAGAGAAGGAAGAAGAAAGAACACAGUACAGAAAGUGAGUGGCGGUACCACAAAGAGUCAUCAGCAAGUGCUGAUGGUGGCUCCGGCCAGCACAUUCCAAGCAUCCUUGGGUAGCCUGAUAAAUGGAGUGCAGAAUGUUCGGUAGCUCUGCAAGGAGUGGGAGUAUUUAUUGGGUCUGAGUGCUUGAUGCGAAACUUUCCUCCAAAGUUCCAAUUUUCUAUCCGCCAAGAUAAGUGAUGGAGGUUUAUGGUUCAUGUUGUAGCACAUCCACCCAGGCCAAGGACCUACAACUCUGAAUUUCUGGCCUGCCUCCUUCCAGCUAGAAGUGAAUCUAGAUUUACAUGCCAUCAGGAACAAGCAUCGUCUUCCUGUUCUGUGAGUUCCUAGUUGUAGUAGGUACUGCUUUCAUCCUGAGAAUAUCAAUCUACAUGCACAAGGUCCCUCUCUGUGGAGGAGUAGGUACUUAAACCCAAGAUAAGUGGAAACUUUAUAUCCAAGGAGACAGAAAAUAAAAUUUCAGUAUGUUUUAUAUUAAACAACUUAUUAUACUUCUAUCCUUUUAUGAACAUAAGGUCAUCAGUAGGCCAAAAGUCUGAAAACAGUCUCAGUUCCUCAAUGUGAAUGCAAACCAUUAGUGCAAAAAAAAAAAAAAAAUAGAUAAAAUUAAAAAAUGAAAGCACAGAUACUUUCUAGCCUUGCUGUCUUAUAGCCCCAUAUUCAUAGGACUGACCAUUCCCCAUCUAUACCCACACCUUUCCCAAAGGACACUAUCUGUGAAUGGUGGCCACGCGUUUGGAUGUUACAGA